rnacentral:rRNA from 1 species
AGUCGUAACAAGGUUUCACCACGGAAGCCUUUGUUCCCUACGACUCUAAAAAGGAUCAUUACAGGGUUCAUGCCCUCACGGGUAGAUCUCCCACCCUUGAAUAUUAUACCUUAGUUGCUUUGGCAGGCCGGGGCAACCCCCGGGGCUUCGGCCUUGGUGUGCCUGCCAGAGGAAACAAACUUUGUUUUUAGUGAUGUCUGAGUACUAUAUAAUAGUUAAAACUUUCAACAACGGAUCUCUUGGUUCUGGCAUCGAUGAAGAACGCAGCGAAAUGCGAUAAGUAAUGUGAAUUGCAGAAUUCAGUGAAUCAUCGAAUCUUUGAACGCACAUUGCGCCCCGUGGUAUUCCGCGGGGCAUGCCUGUUCGAGCGUCAUUUCAACCCAUCAAGCUUCGGCUUGGUCUUGGGGCCUGCGAUUCCGCAGCCUCUAAACCCAGUGGCGGUGCCUCCGAGCUCUGAGCGUAGUAAUUCUUCUCGCUAUAGGGUCUCGGUGGUGUCUUGCCAGUAACCCCCAAUUUUUUACAGGUUGACCUCGGAUCAGGUAGGGAUACCCGCUGAACUUAAGCAUAUCAAUAAGCGGAGGAAAAGAAACCAACAGGGAUUACCUCAGUAACGGCGAGUGAAGCGGUAACAGCUCAAAUUUGAAAUCUGCCGCAAGGCCGAGUUGUAAUUUGUAGAAGAUGCUUUGGGUAUGGCCCCGGUCUAAGUUCGUUGGAACACGACGUCAUAGAGGGUGAGAAUCCCGUAUGUGACUGGGUGCUUUUGCCUAUGUAAAGCUCUUUCGACGAGUCGAGUUGUUUGGGAAUGCAGCUCAAAAUGGGUGGUAUAUUUCAUCUAAAGCUAAAUAUUGGCCAGAGACCGAUAGCGCACAAGUAGAGUGAUCGAAAGAUGAAAAGCACUUUGGAAAGAGAGUUAAACAGUACGUGAAAUUGUUGAAAGGGAAGCGCUUGCAACCAGACUUGCACGCUGUUGAUCAUCCAGGCUUCUGUCUGGUGCACUCGGCAGCGUUCAGGCCAGCAUCGGUUCUGGUGGUGGGAUAAAGGCCUUGGGAAUGUAGCUUCUUUCGGGGAGUGUUAUAGCCCUCGGUGCAAUGCCGCCUAUCGGGACCGAGGACCGCGCUUCGGCUAGGAUGCUGGCGUAAUGGUUGUAAGCGAC